GGACUACACGGGUUUCUAAUCCUGUUUGCUCCCCUUGCUCUCGCGCCUCAGCGUCAGGAGAAAGCUAGAAAACCGCUUUCGCCACCGGUGUUCCUCCACAUAUCCACGCAUUUCACCGCUACAUGUGGAAUUCCGUUUUCUCCGCCAUUCCUCUGAGAUUUGCAGUAUCAAAUGCAGCUCCAAAGGUGAGCUUUGGAAUUUCACAUCUGACUUACGAAUCCGCCUACGCGCCCUUUACGCCCAAUAAUUCCGAUUAAUGCUUGCACCCUACGUAUUACCGCGGCUGCUGGCAC
rnacentral:rRNA from 1 species